rnacentral:tRNA from 1 species
UGCGAGAUGGCUGAGGAUAUAGGCAGAAGAUUGUAGCUCUUUUUACGGAGCAGUGAGCUUCUCUCGUAA